rnacentral:lncRNA from 1 species
CACACACACACGAUCUGCUUUUAUCAAGCAUUCAAGAGCUAUCAGGUGUCUGUGUCAUAUUUCUCAAAUGGGGGGGGCGGCAGUGGUCAAAGGCGGCGUCCUUACCUUGGAUCUACUUGAGUAGCCCAUCGUCUUUGAGACGGAUGUGGGGAUCAAAGGGAAGCGACAGGGCUUGAGUUGAACACCGCAUUUAUUUCAGUUGUGUGUUUUGGAUGCUUGUCAUGUCAAGGAUCCUCUCUCCGUCACCUGCAAGUGAGCUGAUCUUUUCCAUCCCAACCCUCUCCUGGGCUCCCUCUCUAAAUCAAGAGCCUCUGAUAGAUGCAGCCGCUUUGUAUCUGCCCAGCAAAUAGUGGCCUUUUGUCCCACACAAGCUCCUAAACAAACUUAAUCUCUCUAACCCAGUGACAGAUGACAUUUCGAUGUCCUUGUCCUUCCCCCCCUUAAAAUGAGUUUUAUUGACAAUCAGGGAACAAAAAGAAGGCCUAGAGAAAGACCAAUGUUUUAUAGGCCUCAACAGCAUCUUUGUUCUCCCUACUGAGGGUGUGGAGAAAACUUGAAGUUGUGCUCACCCCCCACUUUUCCCCCUGCUUUGCAAUAUCACCAUGACAACAGAUAUAGAAAUCACUUAGUGACUCCGAGAAAGAAAACACACUGACACAGUCCCGCUUGUAUAGCGAAUCAAACUAAAGCCUUCAUUCAAAUGGCUAUUGAGCUUGGGCAUUCAUGUAGAGGAUGGGGUGGAUUUGACACAGGUAACUACAAGAGAAAGGCCAGCCUGAACUCCAGCCACAGCAUAUGGAGACAAAAUGACUUUAAAACUCUGCACUGUUUCCUCACCCCUUGGUCCAAGAGAAGUGUUGUACAAAUGAACUGAGGAAAAUCUGGAGAAGAUUCUAGGUCAAGUUUGUGUACAAGAGUUGAAAUUUUUAGUGACAGUCUUCCCUCACGGCCAAGCAAAAGUUUCCACACAGUGUUGAACAAGCUAGCCCAAUUAUCCUCCUCCUUUGAAAACCAUUAUCAAGUUUUUCAAAACUUCUUUCAUUUCACUGUUGUCAUUCAAUGAAAAGGAAACUAACCACCAUGUCAAGACAACUCUGCUGCCUAGCAACCAAGGGCCACGUUUUAAUUCCAACUUGCUUCUGGUC